rnacentral:lncRNA from 1 species
ACUGUAGCUCCUCGCUCCACUCCGCUCACAUACUCUGCUCCCUACUGUAGCUCCUCGCUCCACUCCGCUCACAUACUCUGCUCCCUACUGUAGCUCCCAUGAUGCUCUUUCAAAUACAGCCACUCCAAUGCGUUCUGUACUGUAUAUAUUUGAAGUUGCCUUUGUGUGAAGAGAAAAUUAAGAGAACUCAACUGCUUUAAGACUAAAACCUUAAGAACCGUCUAAAGACUGAAUUGAAGAGGAGGUAUAUGUUCUGUAGCUUUGAGGUUCAGCGCAAUAUGUGGUUUCUUCUAUCCCUUUUCAUUACUACUUUGCACAUUGUGACCCAGGCCUUUUUUAAAAUCGGCUUUUAACAAAGAUAUAAAUACUGUGACUGCAGGUUUCUUACCAUUUAUCAGUCUCUUAUCAUGAUAGAAACUAAAGAAGAACACUCCCUCAUCUCCUGCUUAUUCAGUGGUCCUAAGGUUUUCCCUUUGUUCAUGGACGUUGCGUGUGUCUCAUCGUCUGUAGAUUGGAUACAGAACUAAGAGCUGUGUGUCUCAUCGUCUGUAGAUUGGAUACAGAACUAAGAGCUGUGUGUCUCAUCGUCUGUAGAUUGGAUACAGAACUAAGAGCUGUGUGUCUCAUCGUCUGUAGAUUGGAUACAGAACUAAGAGCUGUGUGUCUCAUCGUCUGUGGAUUGGAUACAGAACUAAGAGCUGUGUGUCUCAUCGUCUGUAGAUUGGAUACAGAACUAAGAGCUGUGUGUCUCAUCGUCUGUAGAUUGGAUACAGAACUAAGAGCUGUGUGUCUCAUCGUCUGUGGAUUGGAUACAGAACUAAGAGCUGUGUGUCUCAUCGUCUGUAGAUUGGAUACAGAACUAAGAGCUGUGGGUGUCAGUCAGUUGUCUGGUUUGAGUCUGUGGUACUUCUGAGCUAUUGUGAAUAUUUUUAAAAGAGGAACCCGUUGUUGUGAGUAAAUACUGCCAGUUAAGAUGAAGGCGAAAUGACAACCCAAAUAAUUACUCUAGCUUUUAGCGAAAAGGUUAUUUCUUAACUAGCUACUUACCAUGUUUUCCAAAUCACAGACUAUUGGACUGUAGAUAUUAUAUUGGACAAUGUUUAGGGUUGGAUAAUCACGGUCUGAGAAUGAGACAUAAGAAAUAGUUCAGAUGGAAUGUAAGUAAUGGCUUUAAACAAGGAAUGUAAAGCAGUGUAUUUGACUAACAUAGUUGUAUCACGGCAGGUCACUGACCUAAUAGUAUUACAGAAUCUGACCAGAUUUACAACCCAAACAAGUGUGAACAGUUCUAGGGGCUACAUUAUACAAUAAGGAUUGUGUUAUAUAUAUAUAUAUGUGU